CCCUUAGAUGUUCUGGGCCGCACGCGCGCUACACUGGUGCGUUCAACAAGUUUACAACCUUGAUUGACAAGUCUGGGUAAUCUUUUGAAUGCGCGCCGUGCUAGGGAUAGAUUAUUGCAAUUAUUAAUCUUGAACGAGGAAUUCCUAGUAAACGCAAGUCAUCAGCUUGCAUUGAUUACGUCCCUGCCCUUUGUACACACCGCCCGUCGCACCUACCGAUUGAAUGGUCCGGUGAAAUCUCGGGACGGCGGCUUGGUCGCUUGCGUCCGACUGCUGAAACUUGAUUAAACCAUAUCAUUUAGAGGAAGGUGAAGUCGUAACA
rnacentral:rRNA from 1 species